ACGAACGCUGGCGGCGUGCUUAACACAUGCAAGUCGAGCGGAAAGGCUCCUUCGGGGGUACUCGAGCGGCGAACGGGUGAGUAACACGUGAGUAAUCUGCCCUCCACUUUGGGAUAACUGCCUGAAAGGGUGGCUAAUACCGGGUAUUCUCCUUGCACCGCAUGGUGUGGGGUGGGAAGUUUUUUCGGUGGGGGAUGUGCUCGCGGCCUAUCAGCUUGUUGGUGGGGUAAUGGCCUACCAAGGCUUUGACGGGUAGCCG
rnacentral:rRNA from 2 species